AGUGAACGCUGGCGGCAGGCCUAACACAUGCAAGUCGAACGGCAGCACCAGAGAGCUUGCUCUCUGGGUGGCGAGUGGCGGACGGGUGAGGAAUGCAUCGGAAUCUGCUCAUUUGUGGGGGAUAACCUCGGGAAACCGGGACUAAUACCGCAUACGACCUACGGGUGAAAGCAGGGGAUCUUCGGUCCUUGCUCAGUUGGAUGAGCCGAUGCCGGAUUAGCUAGUUGGAGGGGUAAAGGCCCACCAAGGCGACGAUCCGUAGCUGGUCUGAGAGGAUGAUCAGCCACACGGGGACUGAGACACGGCCCAGACUCCUACGGGAGGCAGCAGUGGGGAAUAUUGGACAAUGGGCGCAAGCCUGAUCCAGCCAUGCCGCGUGUGUGAAGAAGGCCUUCGGGUUGUAAAGCACUUUUGUUGGGAAAGAAAAGCAGCCGGUUAAUACCCGGUUGUCAUGACGGUACCCAAAGAAUAAGCACCGGCUAACUUCGUG
rnacentral:rRNA from 1 species